rnacentral:rRNA from 1 species
GACGAACGCUGGCGGCGUGCUUAACACAUGCAAGUCGAACGGUGAAGCGCCUUCCUUUUUGGUGGGUGUGGAUGAGUGGCGAACGGGUGAGUAACACGUGAGUAACCUGCCCCCUUCUUCUGGAUAACCGCAUGAAAGUGUGGCUAAUACGGGAUAUUCUGGGUCUGUCGCAUGAUGGGUCUGGGAAAGAUAUUGUUUCGGUGGGGGAUGGGCUCGCGGCCUAUCAGCUUGUUGGUGGGGUGAUGGCCUACCAAGGCGGUGACGGGUAGCCGGCCUGAGAGGGUGGACGGUCACACUGGGACUGAGACACGGCCCAGACUCCUAGGGGAGGCAGCAGUGGGGAAUAUUGCACAAUGGGCGCAAGCCUGAUGCAGCGACGCCGCGUGAGGGAUGGAGGCCGUCGGGUUGUGAACCUCUUUCGCCAGUGAAGCAGGCCUGCCUCGUUUGUGGGUGGGUUGACGGUAGCUGGAUAAGAAGCGCCGGCUAACUACGUG